rnacentral:rRNA from 1 species
UGGGGAAUCUUGGACAAUGGGGGCAACCCUGAUCCAGCCAUGCCGCGUGAGUGAUGAAGGCCUUAGGGUCGUAAAGCUCUUUCGCCUGUGAAGAUAAUGACGGUAGCAGGUAAAGAAACCCCGGCUAACUCCGUGCCAGCAGCCGCGGUAAUACGGAGGGGGUUAGCGUUGUUCGGAAUUACUGGGCGUAAAGCGCACGUAGGCGGACCAGAAAGUUGGGGGUGAAAUCCCGGGGGCUCAACCCCGGAACUGCCUCCAAAACUAUUGGUCUAGAGUUCGAGAGAGGUGAGUGGAAUUCCAAGUGUAGAGGUGAAAUUCGUAGAUAUUUGGAGGAACACCAGUGGCGAAGGCGGCUCACUGGCUCGAUACUGACGCUGAGGUGCGAAAGUGUGGGGAGCAAACAGGAUUAGAUACCCUGGUAGUCCACACCGUAAAACGAUGAAUGCCAGUCGUCGGGGUAGCAUGCUAUUCGGUGACACACCUAACGGAUUAAGCAUUCCGCCUGGGGAGUACGGUCGCAAGAUUAAAACUCAAAGGAAUUG